rnacentral:lncRNA from 1 species
GGCUGAGGCCUCCCAGAACCAUCUGCCUCCUGUCGUUGCCAGCCAGAGCCAAGGCGACAUUGACAAGAACUCAGGAGCCGAGGGAGCGCCGGAGUUGCACCUGCCCGGUGGGAACCAGAGAGCACAAUAUUCUCCUAGUGGUGUGGAAGAAAACCUACUAGACCUUGGAUUCUCGCUUAGAUUUCCAGAGUCUAACUCAUCCAGAUAAACU